rnacentral:rRNA from 1 species
GACGAACGCUGGCGGCGUGCCUAAUACAUGCAAGUAGAACGCACAGUUUAUACCGUAGCUUGCUACACCAGAGACUGUCAGUUGCGAACGGGUGAGUAACCCGUAGGUAACCUUCCUGAUAGCGUGGGGUAACUAUUGGCAACGAUAGCUAAUACCGCAUACUGUUUAUUAUUGCAUGAUAAUUUAUUGAAAGAUGCUAUUGCAUCACUACCAGAUAGACUUGCGUUGUAUUAGCUAGUAGGUGAGGUAACGGCUCACCUAGGCGAGGAUACAUAGCCGACCUGAGAGGGUGAUCGGCCAGACUGGGAGUGAGACCCGGCCCAGACUCCUACGGGAGGCAGCAGUAGGGAAUCGUCGGCAAUGGACGAAAGUCUGACCGAGCAACGCCGCGUGAGUGAAGAAGGUUUUCGGAUCGUAAAGCUCUGUUGUAAGAGAAGAACGGGUGUGAGAGUGGAAAGUUCACACUGUGACGGUAUCUUACCAGAAAGGGACGGCUAACUACGUG